rnacentral:rRNA from 1 species
ACGAACGCUGGCGGCGCGCCUAACACAUGCAAGUCGAACGAGCAAAGAGGAGCUUGCUUCUCUGAGCGAGUGGCGAACGGGUGAGUAACGCGUGAGGAACCUGCCUCAAAGAGGGGGACAACAGUUGGAAACGACUGCUAAUACCGCAUAAGCCCACGGGUCGGCAUCGACCAGAGGGAAAAGGAGCAAUCCGCUUUGAGAUGGCCUCGCGUCCGAUUAGCUAGUUGGUGAGGUAACGGCCCACCAAGGCGACGAUCGGUAGCCGGACUGAGAGGUUGAACGGCCACAUUGGGACUGAGACACGGCCCAGACUCCUACGGGAGGCAGCAGUGGGGAAUAUUGCACAAUGGGGGAAACCCUGAUGCAGCGACGCCGCGUGGAGGAAGAAGGUCUUCGGAUUGUAAACUCCUGUUGUUGAGGAAGAUAAUGACGGUACUCAACAAGGAAGUGACGGCUAACUACGUGCCAGCAGCCGCGGUAAAACGUAGGUCACAAGCGUUGUCCGGAAUUACUGGGUGUAAAGGGAGCGCAGGCGGGAAGACAAGUUGGAAGUGAAAUCCAUGGGCUCAACCCAUGAACUGCUUUCAAAACUGUUUUUCUUGAGUAGUGCAGAGGUAGGCGGAAUUCCCGGUGUAGCGGUGGAAUGCGUAGAUAUCGGGAGGAACACCAGUGGCGAAGGCGGCCUACUGGGCACCAACUGACGCUGAGGCUCGAAAGUGUGGGUAGCAAACAGGAUUAGAUACCCUGGUAGUCCACACCGUAAACGAUGAUUACUAGGUGUUGGAGGAUUGACCCCUUCAGUGCCGCAGUUAACACAAUAAGUAAUCCACCUGGGGAGUACGACCGCAAGGUUGCAACUCAAAUGAAUUGACGG